UCCGAACGCUAGGUCGGUUCU
rnacentral:miRNA from 1 species